rnacentral:rRNA from 1 species
UACGUAGGCAGCGAGCGUUGUUCGGAGUUACUGGGCGUAAAGAGUGCGUAGGCGGUGUUCCAAGUCUGUUGUGAAAUCUCCCGGCUUAACUGGGAGGGUGCGGCGGAAACUGGGACGCUGGAGUACGGGAGAGGUAAGCGGAAUUCCUGGUGUAGCGGUGAAAUGCGUAGAUAUCGGGAGGAACACCAGUGGCGAAGGCGGCGAUCUGGGAAGAUACUGACGCUGAGGUGCGAAAGCGUGGGGAGCAAACAGG